rnacentral:rRNA from 1 species
UACGUAGGGUGCAAGCGUUGUCCGGAAUUAUUGGGCGUAAAGAGCUUGUAGGCGGUUUGUCGCGUCUGCUGUGAAAUUUCGGGGCUCAACCCCGAACUUGCAGUGGGUACGGGCAGGCUAGAGUGUGGUAGGGGAGACUGGAAUUCCUGGUGUAGCGGUGAAAUGCGCAGAUAUCAGGAGGAACACCGAUGGCGAAGGCAGGUCUCUGGGCCACUACUGACGCUGAGAAGCGAAAGCAUGGGUAGCGAACAGG